rnacentral:rRNA from 1 species
UACAGAGGUCUCAAGCGUUGUUCGGAUUCAUUGGGCGUAAAGGGUGUGUAGGUGGCGCUGUAAGUCGGGUGUGAAAGCCCCGGGCUCAACCUGGGAAUUGCAUUCGAGACUGAAUAGCUAGGGUACGGUAGAGGGAAGCGGAAUUUCCGGUGUAGCGGUGAAAUGCGUAGAUAUCGGAAGGAACAUCAGUGGCGAAAGCGGCUUCCUGGACCAGUACCGACGUUCAGGCACGAAAGCGUGGGGAGCAAACAGGA